CACCAUUCCCUAUGUUGCAGCCCAUGUAAAUCUUAGGAGCAGAUCCAUCACUAAAUCCCAUCUACAUCAUCCCAAGUCCAACCACAUAUCAUAAUCCAACUUGGUAGUAGACAUUCGUCUUAUUCAUAUAGAUCAGCUAAGAUUAGGAUGAAGAAUCUGAUUCAUAUAGAUCUCCCUUUGAAUCAUCAUUUACCACGAAAAUUCUAGUUGAGUGCAGAAAACAUAUCUAGCUAUUCAAAUAAAUGUGUCUCUUAAUUUUCACUUAAACUGCAAAUCAUUUUUUUCGAGUGCCUAGGAUCAUGAACACCUAUCAAUGCAAUAUAAGCAUAUAUGUGUAUGCAUGCAGAUGUGCAGGGACUAAACAACAAAAUAAGUUAGAUCAAGAUUUAGGCAAAUAAAAUAAAAUAAAAAAUACAAACACACAUGAAUUUACAUUUGGCCCUUUUUUUUUCCUUUUAUACUAAACCUCCUAAUAGAGUAGUAAACCACACUGUGUGACUGUGUGAUUCUAAUCCUUAUGAAUAUUAUUUGGCAGUGAUAGUUGCCAACUUCUGUUAGGCAUUUCUAACUUUUCCCAUUUCCACUUGUUAUGAAGGACACUGAUUAUGUGGAGGAACUAAAGGAGGCUUUCAAGGUCUUUGACAAGGAUCAAAAUGGUUACAUUUCUGCUGUAGAGGUAAGUUGUUUUCUUCCUCCUAUGUAAUAUGACUAGAUGUUAAUGUGUAGUAGUUAUGUUUGUCAAACAACUAUCUAAUGAAUGGGAUGCUACCAGAAUUGAGGCCUUGCAUUGGAUUACAACACUUUUGGAAAGACAUCAGGUUGAGGCAAUCAUUGAUGAUUUCUUGUUCAUUUUUUACAUCAGUUCGAGCAUAUGUACUUACUGUACAUUGAUCACUCGUAUAGGUUUCCUGAAGUAAUAUCAAAUGUUGUGUUCACUGCCUCUGUUCUUGAAAAUAUUGCUACUGAUAGCUUGCUAUAACAGGCAUGUGCAUGUUAGCUUUCCUUUUCAGAUGGGGUGUUAAGAAGCCUCAAAUCAUGGAAAUUUCUAUCACGAUCUUGUCGAAUGCAAGUCUUGGGAUGGCCAUGUUCAGUCUCGGACUAUUCAUGGCCUUGUAGCCAAGAAUCAUAGCCUGAGGGACUAAACUCGCCGCAUACGGAUUGGUUGCGAGGUUCCUCAUUGGCCCGGCUGUCAUGGCGAUCGCAUCUGUUGGGGUUGGCCUCAGAGGCACAAUCCUCAGAGUGUCCAUUGUUCAAGUGGGUCCAUUGCAUUUUCAGCUCAAUCUUUAAAACACACACAAACACAUUUUCAGCCUCUUACGUAUAAUGUCAUAACAUGCAAUUUCUUCCAUUUUGUAUGAUGAAAUUGAUUUUCAGCCA